CUGAGGGGAGGAGCUCUGAGAGCUGCCACCCCUGGAGAAAAAGACUUUCUUUCGAUUCCAAGCUCCCUUCUUCCUCCUCAGACCUGCAUCUUUGCUCAAGACUGGACAAUCUUCUCGCAAGAUCCCAUUAAAAGUUUCCAUUUCAACAAGAAGAAAAUUAAAAAUUGUCAUUUUGGGUCAACCCGAAACCAUUUUUUUCCAGAUUUUUCAGUUUAGCCGCCGAACUAAAAUAUCCAGCUCUACUCUGUACCUUCAAAUAUGCC